CCAGGAUGGAGAGCAGCACAGGAGGGAGACUGUUCUGGAUUUAUGGAUUCAGAGGAGGAAGAGGAGUAGAUCUCUUACCUGAUGGGGGUCUUUAUGUACAUACAGCAUUAAACCUCAAGGUCCAUUUCUGAUACAUGUCUGGAGUACCAAGGCUGUGUGGUGACAUCUCCGUUCACUGGAUCUCACGUUUUCAGAGGCAGACAGUCUGGUCAGAUGGACAGGUGACCUUUUGGAACCUUUUAACAAAACACAGGCACUUCUCCCCUUGAAGUUAAUGAAUCAUUUUGACUUAGCUGUGGUACACUUAACUGUAAAUUCAGCUUAUAUGAUCUUUCUAAAUAUUUGAUAUAAAUAUUUCAUUAUUGUGGUCCAAAUUUCUAAUGCACAUAUUACACUAAUCAAAUCCUUUUAGAGUAUCAAUUCCUCCCAUUUAAAAAAAAAAAUAAAAAAUGAGGUGUACUUCUGUCAAGUACAUCAAUAUCAACACAAAACCAUAUAUAAUGAAUAAAAAACCUAUAGCAGUUAAAAAUCAAUCAAAUAAUAAACAUUAUUAAUAACAUAUGUAAUACAGAACUAUCAUUAACCACAAAAACACUGCAUCAGCAUCUUAUAGUCUGCAAACAAACAAAAACAAAAACAAAAUCAAUGAAGGAUUGGAUAACCACCUCUGGAAAUGAUUCUCCAAGACCACUUCUGAUGUGGUUAGAUAGGGAAAGCUGAUCGGAAGAUCUCGCGAUGUACGUGAAGAUAGGGCCCCUCUUUCUCCAAAGAAACUCCUGUACUCCAAAGAAACACUCCUGUACCGCCGGGAUGCAGUCGCUCGGCAAGGUAGUUUCGCAGCUGCAUGAGCAGUGGGGUAUAGACUGCAAAUCAAGGGACUUUGAAUGCGCGGUUACCAGAUUACUAGAAUUAUGUGUUGUUGAUGAUCCCGUAGAUAUAUUACACCCAGAUUGCUGGGUUAGGUGUACUAAGGCGCUCACGGAUGACGUGUUGUGCUUUAAGUCCAGCAAGUGCCUUAAAAGCUGGGCGAGAGUUAAGGAAGCGCUGCGAAAAGCUCUUCAAGAGCAGGAAACUUGGAAGGCAGCUCAAAGCUGUUUAAAGGUUACACCACGGGUGGGGGCUGGAGCUGCUACUCAGACCACGUUUAUUGAUUGCCCCACCAAUUCUAACUGGCCAUCCAAUGAUGACGGGCGGCUUGAGUCGCCGUCCCGCCUGCCCGGUUCUAACACAGGUUUGGCCACGGAACAUAAUUUGCUGCCAGGGGGUACUGAUGCCACUGAGCCGCGGGGCGCGCCCGACACCGCGGGCCCUGGAGAUGUCGGGGAAAGGCCUCUGCCAUACCCACCAUGAAAUGGUGCCGGGGAGAGGAAGAAGGAGCAGAGCGAAGGGUGCCUAACGCACGCGGACAUAUGCGAUCGGGAGUCUAAGGGGAGGCGGGAGGACAGCGCCAAUGGUGAAGGGGAGGAGAGCUCAGAGUCCAAUCAGGGAGCGUGCCCUAGACUAUCUCAUUGUAAGGAAAAGAACCCGCUGGAAGGAAGGUGGAGAAAGGGAGGGGAGAAACCCGUCCCUGGAAAAGGGAGAGGGCGGAGUCCCACCAAAAGGCAUUGUAGCCCGGAAGCCCACUGCCACUCGAUAAGACCAAGUCCUGGGUAGUUCCAUCAACCUCAGGAAUCUGGGCCUGUAGCUCCACAGGUAUUACUCCGUGUAUUUCCAUCAAACACUUUGAUGAAGUUAACGAUUUCUGUGUCCAAGUGGUUGUUAUCCCUAGGAUCCUGUAUUUCCAUGGAGAUGAAUUGCCUUACCACCAAGAGAGAGGUUUCCCACGCCAAAAGCGAGAACUCAUUACUGCCAUCAGCCUCGCGGUACUUUUGGGCCCAACAGCAACACAUGUGGACUAGAUAUCCUACCUAUGCAUCAAGGAGGUCAUGGCUGUUCAGAGCCAACACAACCAUAACCAGCCAACCUCUAUCCCGCCGAAAUAGCUCAGUUGGGAGAGCAUUAGACUGAAAAUCUAAAGGUCCCUGGUUAGAUCCCGAGUUUCGACAGAGCUUCAGCAAAGACUUGAACAGCGUAGCCGACAACGUUCUCAACAGAACUGGUUUGACUCAAUGUUCAGCCAAUCCCCAUGGAUUGUUACCCUCAUAUCCACGUUAGCAGGACCAGUUAUCAUUGUUGUGUUUGCACUUAUCUUUGGUCCAUGUCUUCUUAAUAAGUUAGCCCAGUUUGUAGAAACCCAUUUGGAUAAGAUUGACAUUUUAUAUUUAGAACAGAGACAGUUAACCUGAGUUUUCAUUAUAGUUCAUACUAACACACCGCGGUUACGUUUAAUGUUCAUUACUAACAAGUUCACGGUUUGUUGUUAAUUACAUAAGUCAUUCAGUUAUAAAGUUCUGUUCAUGGAGAGGGGGGGAGAUGAUGUGGUUAGACAGGGAAAGCCGAUCGGAAGAUCUCGCGAUGUACGUGAAGAUAGGGCCCCUCUUUCUCCAAAGUUCUAUAACCCAUAAUAUCACGGUGAUGACGUAAUCAUAAAUCGGUCAUAUAAAACCAUGCACACUGGAAAUAAACGCUCUUCACCGUCCACCACAUUGGUGUUUGCGUGUGAUUAGCCCGACAGGCCUGUAAGUUUAGCCAUCGUGUCACUCACGAACCGGGUCGCUAUGCCUCAUCUGAGAGGCAUCUACCACUUCAAAACUGAUCCAGCUGUUAUAUUAAUAGGGUCAAAUUGCCAAGUCAAAAAGUAACUCAAAUAUUGAUUUGGCACAGAGAACAUCUGGAUCUGUUGGCAAACAUUCUGUCCAGGUAAAGUCAAGGGUUGGCCAGGUCCUAGGCUUUAAACUGGAAAGAUGUCUCUUAACUAAUUUUCAAAACAAGGUUCUCAAUAGUAGCAGCUAUGAGAUGCUUAAAGCACAGCAAACUGUUAAAAUGCAUUUGUACAAAGCAAAUGAUCAGAAGCCUUAGGUACCAGACCAAUUAAACCAUUCAGUGGUUGGUUUAAUCUGAAGCCUCUCCUGUCAUGAUCCGCAAGGUGGGAUUCGUGAUGUGGUUGUUUUAGUCAGUCUUAGAGUACAGAAGAUUAUCAGCAAACCAAGGACUUAAACAGCAAAACACACUUUAUUGAGUGCUCAUCAGCACUAAUAUGUGAUAGAGGGAAAAGAGGAGAAAACAAAGCAGAAGGAAAAGAGAGUAAGGGGAUUAUAGCUACCAACGUUGAAGUCCACUCAGCUGUCCAACGACGCAGAGUCUUCUGUCUGUUGGGGAGAUCUCAAAGGAAGGUAAGUUUGGGGUAUAAUUUUAUAGUCUUUUACAAAGUGAGGGGCACAGGGCCAAAAACAGAGGAGAUUGAUGAUCAUUGUGAUGAAUUCCAUUGUGCAGGGGGCAGGAGUAGGGUAGAGAGCAAACCAUGUCUUGCAAGUCUUUGCUCACCAGCAGGAAUGAGGGCAAUGUGUCAUGGAAAUCCCAUUGCACAGGGUACCACGCACAAACCUCUGCUCACCAGCAGGAACGAGGGCAGUGUACCGUGCAACCACCUGCAAACAAUCACUGAGCAAACAUCCACCUCAGCUAGGCCAAACCCCCUAAACCAAAUCCCUUGUGAUAUUCAGGGUCUCAGCCUCUGUCCUUGAGACAGUUGUGAGAUAGAUGAGAGAAUCUUUGGACCAUCUUUUACACUCUCCCAUGGCUGCUGACCCCCAGCAAUGAUACAUUUUCUUGGAAUUCUGGAAACACUGAAAAAUAAUAAAGCUAUAAAAACCAAAAACUGCAUAGAUUGCAACAAACAAUGAACUCCUGAUGAAAUCAAGGGUGUCACAGACUGCAUUCACUUCUAUCCACAAGCAGGUGUUCAUCAGAGUUUAUCACAGCUGUUUCAGUUGUAGUCACCUUUAUCUUUCUAGGGAAAUAACUAUACUUUGCAGUUCAAACAAGUGUCUUCAACAAUACAUAAAACAAUUUAAAUCAAACAAUAUUUAAACCUGGUAACAAUUAACUAUGACAAAAAGAAAUAACAAAAUUUAA